rnacentral:rRNA from 1 species
UACGGAGGGUGCAAGCGUUGUUCGGAAUUAUUGGGCGUAAAGCGCGUGUAGGCGGCUUUGCAAGUCGGGUGUGAAAGCCCUCAGCUCAACUGAGGAAGUGCGCCCGAAACUGCAGAGCUUGAGUACCGGAGAGGAUGGCGGAAUUCCCCAAGUAGAGGUGAAAUUCGUAGAUAUGGGGAGGAACACCGGUGGCGAAGGCGGCCAUCUGGACGGAUACUGACGCUGAGACGCGAAAGCGUGGGGAGCGAACAGG